UGGUGGCGCGUUCCUGUAGUCCUAGCUACUUGGGAGGCUGAGGUAAAAAGAGAUCUGCAAGUGCUUCCAUCUACCUCACCAUCGGCCGCACAGAGUUUGCUGACCUGGCACACUGUUCUUCACAGUAAUUGCUUUCUGAACUCCAGAAAUGGAAAAGAAGCAGCAUUGACUACAGUAAAGAAAGAGUGCUCUUUACUUCUACAGUAAAGAAAGACAACUCCUGGUCACAGGUGCAAGAGCCCUACUCCUCCUAAAGCAGAAAUUCUGCCUGGUGAUCUGGCAUCCAGGAAUUUAACAUUCCCAAUUAAAUGAGGUGGUCUUACCUUC